rnacentral:rRNA from 1 species
AGAGUUUGAUCCUGGCUCAGAUUGAACGCUGGCGGCAGGCCUAACACAUGCAAGUCGAACGGUAACAGGAAGCAGCUUGCUGCUUCGCUGACGAGUGGCGGACGGGUGAGUAAUGUCUGGGAAACUGCCUGAUGGAGGGGGAUAACUACUGGAAACGGUAGCUAAUACCGCAUAACGUCGCAAGACCAAAGAGGGGGACCUUCGGGCCUCUUGCCAUCGGAUGUGCCCAGAUGGGAUUAGCUAGUAGGUGGGGUAACGGCUCACCUAGGCGACGAUCCCUAGCUGGUCUGAGAGGAUGACCAGCCACACUGGAACUGAGACACGGUCCAGACUCCUACGGGAGGCAGCAGUGGGGAAUAUUGCACAAUGGGCGCAAGCCUGAUGCAGCCAUGCCGCGUGUAUGAAGAAGGCCUUCGGGUUGUAAAGUACUUUCAGCGGGGAGGAAGGGAGUAAAGUUAAUACCU